GGUCCAAUAGUGUAGAGGUUAUCACACGGGAUUCUGAUAGUCAUCUAUGUUGGCUUCCCGUGACCCAGGUUCGAGUCCUGGUUGGACCU